rnacentral:rRNA from 1 species
AUACGGAGGGUGCAAGCGUUAAUCGGAAUUACUGGGCGUAAAGAGUACGUAGGUGGUUUAUUAAGUCAGAUGUGAAAGCCCCGGGCUCAACCUGGGAACUGCAUUUGAAACUAGUAGACUAGAGUAUGGUAGAGGGGGGUAGAAUUUCUAGUGUAGCGGUGAAAUGCGUAGAUAUUAGAAGGAAUACCAGUGGCGAAGGCGGCCCCCUGGACCAAUACUGACACUGAGGUACGAAAGCGUGGGUAGCGAACAGGAUUAGAAACCCCAGUAGUCC